GUGUUUGCUUCGGCAGCACAUAUACUAAAAUUGGAACGAUACAGAGAAGAUUAGCAUGGCCCCUGCACAAGGAUGACACACAAAUUCCUGAAGCAUUCCAUAUUUUU
rnacentral:snRNA from 1 species